GUGCAUGCCAGAUGUUACUCUUGUGCCCUGCUCCAUGGUGCAUCGGUGUUUCUAGAUCAUGCUAGAGAAAUUAUAUGAGGAGUUAUCAGGGCUGCCAGUUAUGAAGCACGGACUGAGUGGUAGUAUAUUACUCCCACACUA